GAUGAACGCUGGCGGCGUGCCUAAUACAUGCAAGUCGAGCGAACGGACGAGAAGCUUGCUUCUCUGAUGUUAGCGGCGGACGGGUGAGUAACACGUGGAUAACCUACCUAUAAGACUGGGAUAACUUCGGGAAACCGGAGCUAAUACCGGAUGAUAUUUUGAACCGCAUGGUUCAAAAGUGAAAGACGGUCUUGCUGUCACUUAUAGAUGGAUCCGCGCUGCAUUAGCUAGUUGGUAAGGUAACGGCUUACCAAGGCAACGAUGCAUAGCCGACCUGAGAGGGUGAUCGGCCACCCUGGAACUGAGACACGGUACAGACUCCUACGGGAGGCAGCAGUAGGGAAUCUUCCGCGAUGGGCGAAAGCCUGACGGAGCAACGCCGCGUGAGUGAUGAAGGUAUUCGGAUCGUAAAACUCUGUUAUUAGGGAAGAACAUAUGUGUAAGUAACUGUGCACAUCUUGACGGUACCUAAUCAGAAAGCCACGGCUAACUACGUG
rnacentral:rRNA from 1 species